rnacentral:rRNA from 1 species
AUUGAACGCUGGCGGCAGGCCUAACACAUGCAAGUCGAGCGGAUGAAGGGAGCUUGCUUCUGGAUUCAGCGGCGGACGGGUGAGUAAUGCCCAGGAAUCUGCCUGGCAGUGGGGGAUAACGUCCGGAAACGGGCGCUAAUACUGCAUACGUCCUGAGGGAGAAAGUUGGGGAUCUUCGGACCUCACGCUCUCAGAUGAGUCUAGGCCGGAUUUGAUAGUUGGUGGGGUAAAGGCCUACCAAGGCGACGAUCCGCAACUGGUCUGAGAGGAUGAGCAGUCACACGGGAAGUGAGACACGGUCAAGAGUACUGAGGGAGGCAGCAGUGGGGAAUGUGGGGCAGUGGGCGAAAGCAUGACCCAGCGGGGCCGCGUGUGUGGAGAAGGUGUUCGGAUUGUAAAGCACUUUUAGGUGGGAGGAAGGGCAGUAAGUUGAUACGUUGCGGUUGUGACGUUACCAGCAGAAGAAGCACCGGCUAACUACGUG